rnacentral:sRNA from 1 species
UUGACACUUCUGCUGUGCAAUCUUUUUAUAAUCUCUUUUUAUAUUUACUAAGUUAUUUUAUCUUUAUUUUCAGCUGUUUAUCAUAUCAAUCUACAGUUGCUGUUUGCAUCUUACAUCUUCUGAAUCAUUUUAUGAUGAUUCUCAGCAGUUUUAACAAUAUCAAGUCUACUGUUCAAGUUCCAAUCAUGUGCUGUUGAGUGAUAUUACAGCCUCACAGCUUAAUCAACAUUCACAAUAUAAUCAAUCAAUAGUCAAGAAUACUACAUCAAUAACUCUUUGCUAUUAUCUGCAGAGUUGACUGAGUUUAUAAACUCUGCAGCAUUCACUGAGCUUUCUGAGUGCUACUGAGUCUCUAAUCUAGCAAGCUUCUCACUGAUUAUAAGCUAAGAUCAGGGCUUAUAUAGUGUUGCUGAGCUUGUUCACUAAGUCAGA